rnacentral:miRNA from 1 species
AAUGGCGCCCUCUAGAAGUAAG